rnacentral:miRNA from 1 species
UCUGUGUGCUCUGGCGCCUGGGAA